rnacentral:rRNA from 1 species
AACGAACGCUGGCGGCAUGCCUAACACAUGCAAGUCGAACGAGACCUUCGGGUCUAGUGGCGCACGGGUGCGUAACGCGUGGGAACCUGCCCUUAGGUUCGGAAUAACUCCCCGAAAGGGGUGCUAAUACCGGAUAAUGUCUUCGGACCAAAGAUUUAUCGCCUUUGGAUGGGCCCGCGUUGGAUUACCUAGUUGGUAGGGUAAAAGCCUACCAAGGCGACGAUCCAUAGCUGGUCUGAGAGGAUGAUCAGCCACACUGGGACUGAGACACGGCCCAGAAUCCUACGGGAGGACGGAGUGGGGAAUAUUGGACAAUGGGGGAAAGCAUGAUCCAGCAAUGCCGCGUGAGUGAUGAAGGCCUUAGGGUUGUAAAGCUCUUUUACCCGGGAUGAUAAUGACAGUACCGGGAGAAUAAGCGCCGGCUAACUCCGUG